rnacentral:tRNA from 1 species
GCCCCGGUGGCGGAAUCGGUAGACGCGGCGGAUUCAAAAUCCGUUUCUUCACAGAGUGGGAGUUCGAGUCUCCCCCGGGGCACCA